rnacentral:rRNA from 1 species
AGUGAACGCUGGCGGUAGGCCUAACACAUGCAAGUCGAACGGCAGCACAGUAAGAGCUUGCUCUUACGGGUGGCGAGUGGCGGACGGGUGAGGAAUACAUCGGAAUCUACUUUUUCGUGGGGGAUAACGUAGGGAAACUUACGCUAAUACCGCAUACGACCUACGGGUGAAAGCAGGGGAUCUUCGGACCUUGCGCGAUUGAAUGAGCCGAUGUCGGAUUAGCUAGUUGGCGGGGUAAAGGCCCACCAAGGCGACGAUCCGUAGCUGGUCUGAGAGGAUGAUCAGCCACACUGGAACUGAGACACGGUCCAGACUCCGACGGGAGGCAGCAGUGGGGAAUAUUGGACAAUGGGCGCAAGCCUGAUCCAGCCAUACCGCGUGGGUGAAGAAGGCCUUCGGGUUGUAAAGCCCUUUUGUUGGGAAAGAAAAGCAGCAGGUUAAUACCCCGCUGUUCUGACGGUACCCAAAGAAUAGGCACCGGCUAACUGCGU